rnacentral:lncRNA from 1 species
GGUUUACUAUUUGAUCAUCUGAAACUACGAUUGUGUUGUCAUUUGGUUAUGUCGCCGCCUGUUUCUGUUACAGCUACACAUCUACUUUGUAGUAUCUCUCAGAUGCCAUGGUCUUUGAAUGGUUGGUCUCGGUUAAUACAGUUUCCUACCUGUCCCCAAGAAGCUCAGUUAGGGUAACAAAAUAAAAAAAAAGACGAAAAACAUAUAUUCUACAAAAAAGUUGGAGACAGAACCAAGAAAGAAUAAAUACGUGAGGUGAUCUUACUUGAAGUAAUGGCAGGAUUGAGUAAAGUCUCAUCCUCCCUUUUCAAAUGAACUACAACUCUCCCAACUU